rnacentral:lncRNA from 1 species
UUUUCAUGACUGAAAAACAGCUUUCCACCAAGAUCCCCUCAAAUGAGAUUGCAGAAAUUCUUCUUUCUCCUUCCUCCCUGGCUCUCUUAUCAUGCAAUUCUCUUCAUGCUGUUCACCAAGACCAAAUCUGAGCCAGCCUGAGAUUUGUGCUAACGGCAUCAGAAUGGGCUCCACAGAACAUCCUUUGCAUGGAAGGCAGCCAGUGAUGACAGCAAGCUUUAUCCAUCACAAAGCUGAAGAAAUAGGUCAAGGCGAUCCUUCUCCCUGCACUGAAGAGCAAAAGAAACCUUUGAUAGAAGCCCAAACAGGGAGAUCUCCACCAUUUCCUUCUGCCAUACAUUGACCUUUGCAUCCCUCAGUACCACUGGGAUCUCCUAUGCCCCCCACAGACCCAAGGAGGAGCAGCAUCUUUUGUUACAAGGUGGUUGGUAAAAUUAACUGUACAUCUGUAAGAGUACUCGUACGUCUUGAUUACCACAGCCACCCAGGGGUCUGUAAAUGAGAGCUACAGAGCAUAAUGAGAAAACCCAGCUACAUUUGAUCUGGCAUUGGACCACC